AAGAUGAGUUGUGCCGUAUUUUGCAAGCAAUGAAAAAGCAUUGUGGUUGGCAAAGUCUUCAAACUGGACAAUGACUUUCUCUCCAUAGUUUUGCUUCACAGCGGACAUGAAUUCCUCAAGUAGAUCAGCAUAUUCCUGACCAGUGGCCCGCCUUUGCCUUAAUCCAAUAUAGAACUCAUUCUUCAGUAGCUCCUCAUUAUUAGUCCCAACGUCAAUGGUGAUGGGUAAGCACGCAGAAGGCCGAAUUCCUCCAAGUGCAGAAUACAGUGCAAGCUUCCCUACAGGAAUUCCCAUUCCCUGACAGCCAA
rnacentral:misc_RNA from 1 species